AAAUAGUAAUAUAUGAAUACACAAUACAAGGAAUACGUUAGAUGAAACUCUAAAUUAAAGUUGAUAAAUGGCUAAACUAAAAGGUGGCCAUUAUUGCAGCAGAAAUAUACACAAUCAUUUGAUACACAUGCAAGACCUCCAUAAGCAUGAACCUCCAUUGUUAUUAUUGAGGCACACAAUUUACCUGCAUAAAUACUAUCCA
rnacentral:misc_RNA from 1 species